rnacentral:rRNA from 1 species
CGCAUGAGUGGCGGACGGGUGAGUAACGCGUGGGCAACCUGCCCUGUACAGGGGGACAACACUUAGAAAUAGGUGCUAAUACCGCAUAACGGGGGAGCCGCAUGGCACCCCCCUGAAAACUCCGGUGGUACAGGAUGGGCCCGCGUCUGAUUAGCUGGUUGGCAGGGUAACGGCCUACCAAGGCGACGAUCAGUAGCCGGCCUGAGAGGGCGGACGGCCACACUGGGACUGAGACACGGCCCAGACUCCUACGGGAGGCAGCAG